rnacentral:rRNA from 1 species
UACGUAGGGGGCUAGCGUUGUCCGGAAUCAUUGGGCGUAAAGAGCGUGUAGGCGGUCCGGUAAGUCCGCUGUGAAAGUCGGGGGCUCAACCCUCGAAUGCCGGUGGAUACUGUCGGGCUAGAGUGCGGAAGAGGCGAGUGGAAUUCCUGGUGUAGCGGUGAAAUGCGCAGAUAUCAGGAGGAACACCGGUGGCGAAGGCGGGUCUCUGGGCCACUACUGACGCUGGAGAAGCGAAAGCAUGGGGAGCGAAACAGG